CUCGUAAUCAAUAAUUAAACGCAGAAAACAUUAAAGUUGAUCCCGCUCUUCGUGGCCUGUGAGAGGCCGCACUGCUCUUCAUCUUCCUGUUUGUCCCCCCAGGUCUCGUUGCUGUCCUCCCAGGCGAGACUCAAAAGCAACACACCUUGUGAACAUGAGCAGCCAAGCAUCAGAGCGGUACUUCACAGGCCGUCCUCCUCCCCCGUUCUCUCAAGGGCCCCAACAUAAUGCGGUCCUCUCCUCUGGUCCCAGCCUCCUCCCCCAAGUACACCCACUGCACAGGAGCACAGGAGAUGAACUCACCAGACAGGUGCCAUACUGCUCACCAGAAUGACAAUUUGCCUUUUGGAAAUCAGCCUCUGGCUCCAUUGUGUUCCCUGAAAUUGAGUUAGCCCAUCAGCAGACACUCAACAGCUCCCUCCUGUCCCCUCCCCCUCCCUCCCUCCCCCUCCCUCUCUCUCUGUUUCUGUCAGUCCGUUUAAUGUUAAAGCUAGCUGAGGAGAGUGCUUUCAUCAGAACGUCUUCACAAUAGAAGCGUAUUUUAAAUUGGAAAAGCAUUGCAUAUUAUGCAACUGGUAGGGAGCUGUCUAGCAUAAAAGUUGUAAUAAAAAACUGGUCCGUAUGCAGGUGAGCGGCAGCAGGUAUUCAUUUCAUCUGCACAAAUUGUAUCACUGCAGUCGUAUUGCUUAUUUUUAUGUGACACAAAAUAGGAAGGUAGGCCUAAAAAAUGCAAUACUUCUAUCAAGCAAAAAAGAGAAGACACCGUUUUUAAGAUAAUGAAGUCCCAGCACUCCUGUGUCAUGAAAAGAAUACCCUAUAGUACUUUAAAACAAGCACCUACUUCCUAUAUCCAUUAGAGCCUGAUAUCAGCAACUCUGGAGACAUUAUAGAUAAUCAGGGCAGGCAGUAUGCAGAAAGAUAUUGGCUGACUAACAGGGUCCUUGGUCAAGCCUAAUUAGCUGCUGUAUCCAAAAUCAAAUCUGUUAUCCAUCAGGAGAAAUGGUUUAGAGCUUCAUCCAUCUCUGGUGUUCCUACAGAACAUACAGUCAGACGUUUUAAUUAAUCUGUAUUGCACAGGUAGCAGAACUAACCUAGUUACUGUUGCAGUAAGGCUUAGGUGGUGCGGUAAUGGUAGGAAGGCGAAACUGGAAAUGCAAAGAUGUGCUCCACUCACUUAAUUGGAUGGUCAUAUGUAACUGUUGUGAAGCUGAAUUAUUUGCAACCACUAAGAGUGUUUAUAUUAUUUGUGGCACCUCGUAAAGCACUUGCCUCUUGCCGAACAGUGACAACAAACAACAUGAAGCUAAUGUGGCUAAUAAAUGUCACAUUAAAGGCUUUGUAAAUUGUUUUAUUAAGACAGGUCAUUUUUUUAACUGAAUUUUUCUGCUGUCACUCAUUACCAGGGAGAACAGAGAAUUUAUUUGGUUCUUUAAUCUGUGAGCACACUAAUGCACACCUCAUUUACUGAAAUACUGAUAAGCAAGGGUCUUUGUGACAGUACUGAGACAAUUAUGUUUGAGGAAACGGAGAAUGCUUGCUUUGGUUUAGAUCACCUUAGGUAAUGUAUAACUAAAGAGUUGGUUGCUUUAACUGGCUGUACUGCUAGAUAGCAGAUAGUUUUCUCUUCAGCUAAUAUAAGUGUUUGUAUAUUUGUAUUAUUUAUUAAAUUGUCUGGCAACAGUAUCACUUGGCAAGCAUUUUAUUGUACUAUCAGACGAUGUAAAUUCUUACAUCACUACCUGCAACAACUACUUGCCGUAAAGCAUUGAGAAAUUUGCAUUCUGAGUUAAGUAUUGUUAUAGUAGGCGCUAAAAUAAUAUAUCAGGUGACAAUGAAUAAUGCAAAUUUUAUGCAAAUGCUUUAACGGCAGUCUGCUAGAGGACAGAAGGGAAUUUGGGCUGUAAAGAAAGAUUAAUUAAACCUACACAAUCUUGACUGGAAAAUUGUCAAGGUUAUUUUUAGAAAAGAUAGAAAACAGGUCAUAGUACCAGACCAUUCUUUAGGUUUCUAUGAACGCAAGCAGGCACUAUUUAAUAAUAAAAUUCCACUAUUGAUCUAGUGUUAGGUGGCCGUGCAGGAUUUUUGAUGUUGUGUACUUCUGUUCCUCUUUGUAAGUGAUGUGUUUUUGCUUCUUUUUUUAUUAAU